GAUCUGCCCAGCUGAACAUAGGCUUCUUUUCAGACCCUCUUCUCUCCACUUUCUUUUAGACCACUUUUCAAAGAGUAAUUUCUAAGAAUCUGCCAGAUUGAGCAAAUAAGAAGCCAGAAUGCUCAGCUGAAUCUGAAUUUCAGAGGACCACAUAAUCAUAAGCGCCUGAUGCAGGGGCACAGAGAUGGACCUGGCUGUUCCAGUGUGGGCUUCUGGGGUCUCUGUGCCACCUCCUUUAGCUUCACAACACACCCACCCCUCUUGCCCUGUGUGCUACUAGUAGGGUUCUUCCUCAGCCUCAGGGAGCCAACUGAGUGCAGCUUUCUUUUUCAGGUAAUAGACUUCGUGAGGGUUACAAAUAUGGAGCACUUCGCAAAUUUGCUUGUCAUCCUUGCACAGAGGCCAUGCUAAUCUUUGUAUCAUUCCAAUUUUAGUGUAUGUCCUGCCAAAA